GUUGGACCUAAAAUAAAACUGAAACCGGAGAUAACUCUACAGAAAUAGACGCCGUUAUCUUCAUGCAUAAUAAUUUCCCAAUAAUAACACUAUUUAAAACCUGCCAUCUCCAUAACUACACAAUUUGAUAAACAAACGAAUACACAGUUAAGGGUCUUCUAGUACAAAUUCUGAAAAGAAGAGGAUGCUGAAAGGAAGACGUUGUUCUGCUGCAAGGUAUCUAUGCAAUCUGAUCAGUGAUCACCAGGGAGGGUCUUGAUGAUAUCAGAAUCACCUGGGUCAAUUAUGCUCAGGCAAGAGACACGGAAAUACUUGCCACAAGCAGUUCCCAAGUCGAUAUUGUUUCCAUUGUAAUGGUGGACGCCAACCUUUGCAAGCAUGGCAUAAUACUCAAUCUCGGAUUUUCUAAGCGGUGGGCAAUUGUUUGAAAUUAUAAUGAGUUUUCCUGCCCAGAAAAAAUCCCAAAAUUAAAACUUCCAAAAAUAAAAUCGAACUGAAAUAGCAACCAAAAAAAUUCUUUACAAAAUUAAUAAAAAGGACCUUUAGAACUUCUGAGAGAGCGAAGCACGGUUUUGUAGCCGAGAGUGAACCUUCCACUCUUCAUCACCAGAGCAAGCCUGUUGUUGACGCUCUCAUGGGUCUUCUUAGUUUUCUUGCCAACAGCCAUUUUCGCAGUGAAAGAAAGCUGAAAUCUUUGAGUUGUUAGGGAUUUUCUUCAGUGAGAGUCCUGCCGCC
rnacentral:misc_RNA from 1 species